ACAUCUCAACUCUCAUGCUUUGCCGUGAUGAGCUUGGACUUUUGGGGGGUUUUGCUGGCCUACAGUCAGCUCCUCUGAAACGGAUCAGCUUGCCAGUAUUUGGUGGCGUCACAGGUGUGAUAACUAUCUACGCUUGUGAUUGUUUGCCGAGUAACCUUUGGUGACGAAGGUUUGCUGGAGCUUACAAAUGUCUCUCCUCAGCGAAGACAGCUUUUGACC
rnacentral:misc_RNA from 1 species